rnacentral:rRNA from 1 species
GAUGAACGCUGGCGGCGUGCCUAAUACAUGCAAGUCGAGCGAACAGACGAGGAGCUUGCUCCUCUGACGUUAGCGGCGGACGGGUGAGUAACACGUGGAUAACCUACCUAUAAGACUGGGAUAACUUCGGGAAACCGGAGCUAAUACCGGAUAAUAUAUUGAACCGCAUGGUUCAAUAGUGAAAGACGGUUUUGCUGUCACUUAUAGAUGGAUCCGCGCCGCAUUAGCUAGUUGGUAAGGUAACGGCUUACCAAGGCGACGAUGCGUAGCCGACCUGAGAGGGUUAUCGGCCACACUGGAACUGAGACACGGUCCAGACUCCUACGGGAGGCAGCAGUAGGGAAUCUUCCGCAAUGGGCGAAAGCCUGACGGAGCAACGCCGCGUGAGUGAUGAAGGUCUUCGGAUCGUAAAACUCUGUUAUUAGGGAAGAACAAAUGUGUAAGUAACUAUGCACGUCUUGACGGUACCUAAUCAGAAAGCCACGGCUAACUACGUG